UCCAAAGCGCUAUUGUGUCAGACUCAUCUCUCGCUGAAGAGGAUCCAGCGACAUCAAGAGAUUACGGAAAAUCACGCGAGAUAACUGGCUUGCACCUUGUUGGGUUUUUUCAAGGGCAGAGGGGAGAUUCCUGGCGUGCAUCUACUUAAUUUGAAGAAGAACAUCACCUGUCUGUAAUCCACCUGCGAAGACACUGCUGAGGUCAGACGAGAGUGCAUCCUCAAAGGUCUGUGUGUACCUAAAUGAAGAUCCAGAGAAGCUGGUGAGGGAGUACAUGGACGUUGAUGAAUGAAAUGGCCAAAGCCGAGACUGUCCUCGGAAUCGUCAUUUGAGCAGAGGGUGCAGAGGCUGCCGAUGCACAUCUGGAUGUUGGGAUUGUCCUGGAGGAGGUGGAAGUUAUGAACAGCUUGGGCAGUGUAUCUUCUGCAAUAGUGAUGCUGCUGGGACUAAUCAACGCACUAAACUUGAGCUACC